rnacentral:lncRNA from 1 species
NNNNNNNNNNNNNNNNNNNNNNNNNNNNNNNNNNNNNNNNNNNNNNNNNNNNNNNNNGGGGGACCAACUCGAGCCAGAAGGCGACCUUGUUGGCGCGGUAGUGGUCGCGGACGCGGGGCUUGAGGCCGAUGUGGAGGUAGCGUUUGUCCUUGCCGUCGAAGCGGGUCCAAACCACCUCCUCGAAGCGGUUGGGUUUGGGGUGGAUGUGUUUGGUGUCCUGCGGCACCGGUUGGUUCGGGUCCCUGAGUUGGGGGAGGGGGGGAAAUGAUGGCGGGUUGGGUGAGGGCGGGAUGAUGUUGGUUGGGUUGGAGGAUCGUGCUCCUCAACGUCAGCCAGCCCAUCAUCCAUCCAGCCCAUCAUCCAUCAUCCCACCAUCCAUCCAUCCCAACGUCAUCUAUCCCAUCAUCCAUCCAUCCCAUCAUCCAUCCCAUCAUCCAUCCAUCCCAUCAUCCAUCCCAUCAUCAUCCAUCCCAUCAUCCAUCCCAUCAUCCAUCCCAUCGUCCUCCUCGAUGUCAUCCAUCCCAUCAUCCAUCCAUCCCAUCAUCCAUCCAGCCCAUCAUCCAUCCAGCCCAUCAUCCAUCCAGCCCAUCAUCCAUCAUCCCACCAUCCAUCCAUCCCAACGUCAUCUAUCCCAUCAUCCAUCCAUCCCAUCAUCCAUCCCAUCAUCCAUCAUCCCACCAUCCAUCAUCCCACCAUCCAUCCAUCCCACCAUCCAUCCCAUCAUCCAUCCAUCCCACCAUCCAUCCAUCCCAUCAUCAUCUAUCCCAUCAUCACCCAUCCCAUCAUCCAUCCCAUCAUCCAUCCCAUCGUCCUCCUCGAUGUCAUCCAUCCCAUCAUCCAUCCAUCCCAUCAUCCAUCCCAUCAUCCAUCCAUCCCAUCAUCCAUCCAGCCCAUCAUCCAUCCACCUCCCCUCCUCCCUCCCAUCCUCCAUCCAUCCCAUCAUCCAUCCCAUCAUCCAUCCAUCCCAUCAUCCAUCCAUCCAUUCCAUCGUCCUCCCCAACAUCAUCCAUCCCAUCAUCAUCCUAUCAUCCAUCCAUCCAUCCAUCCCAUCACCCAUCCAUCCAUCCACCCCAUCAUCACCCAUCCAUCCCAAUGUAUCCGUCCGUCCAUCCAUCCAUCCAUCCCAAUGUCAUCCACCCCAUCGUCCGUCCGUCCAUCCAUCCC